CUGGCAUUGAUGUGUGUGUUGUUAGUCGCCGUCUCUACAAAACCAUUUGUUUAACAGUGCGUAUUUUAAAUUAAACUGAACAUGUGAAGCUAAACUAAACGUGAAAUUAGUAACUAUACACGAAAUAGCGUUGCUUAUGCAUUAACAGCAGUGAGUGUAAUGCGCUAAACUCUCAAGUCAAUUUUGCGUUGAAACGAGACGCGGCGUUGUGACGUCAAAAGCAGCAGCAGGAGCAGGAGCAGCAUCAGCAGCAGGAGCAGGAGCAGGAGCAGCAGCAGCAGCUUUGCCACAUCUACUACGCCGCCCGUUGCCACCCCACAGCACACGCACAUACACACACACGCGCUCACACAUACAGCCACGCAGCAUAACAAUAUAAAGGAACAAAAAAAAAUAACAGAA